CACAACACACAUAUAUAUAUCAUCAUAAUACAAUAGUCCAUGAAUCCAUAGCAAUCACAUAUUACAAUAUAAAACCAUUUUUUAAAAGCUUGUUCCCAAGGCAUUUGUUUUCAUGAAAAGCUUGGUAAUUCAUUCAAAUGGGUGGCAAUUUCAUUAUAUUACCCAAAACAAGUUUUGAAGGCAGUCCACUCACAGGUGUCGAAAAUUCGAAUUUCGAGUGCACUCGGACUAAUAGUCUUCAAGCGCAAUUCCUUUGCCUUUUCCGGACGUCUCACUACCUUGACAAAUAACAAAGUCGAGAAAUUUACCAUAUUGUCCCUAAAUUGAUAUAAACUAAUUUAAAUUAGUAAUGCUUGAUAUGUAAAUGCAAAAAUACGUCCGAUUAUCACUUAAUCGCGAUAUCGAUUAAAUUCGACCGAUCACCCGAUUAAUUGGCGAUUGUGUCCAACUCACUUCCAAAUUAAUUCAUUUCUCCUCUAAUACCUUAAUUUACCACAUACCAUUUAAAUAAAGCCAAAUUCAGCAUUAGAACCCUCACAGUUCCUUAUAGAAAAAUUCGGUCAUUUGGUGCACUAGCACCGAAAUUUUUUUCUACAUAAUAGUUUCACCUUAAUUCAUCAUUUUCCAAGCCAUUUUCCUUGAAAUAAAAACAAUCCCCCAAUGAUAUUCAGCCCUCAUGGUUCGACCAACAAGGAACCCUAGAGAAAUUGAAUAUUUCUUUUGUGUUUUUGUUCAUAACCAUGCUUCACUAUCCCUAAACACUAACAUAGUCUAAAAUCAAAUUAUUUCAACAGUAAUUCCUCUUCCAUACCCAUUUUUCAGAAUUGAAUUCAUCAUGAUAACUCAAUAUUCAACCAUGGAAAUCAAAAAUAAAAGAAUGGGUAAGCUAGGUAUCAAGGAGAAUUAAAGAAAUUUUAACUUACUUAGCUUGUUUCCUUGAUUUCUUCAUUUUUUCUUUGAAUUUCCACCUAGGUUUUCUUGUUUUUCCCUUUGUUCUUCCUUUGUUCUUGUUGUUGGUUGCC
rnacentral:lncRNA from 1 species